rfam:Kerstersia gyiorum strain CG1 PROKKA_contig000002, whole genome shotgun sequence.
CGGCAAGAUGUAUGUUGUACCGGUACGGGCGUUGCCCGAACCAGUCCAUCACCUGCCUUAUUCGCGUCGCUCAACAGGCCUCUUGCUCUGCGAGGCC